CCCGAGAUAGUGCUGGAUGACGUGCCUGCGGUGAGGGUGGCGGGACGGCCUCCAUUCGCUCCGCGGGUGGCCUUCAUGGUGAACAAAACACAAGUCAAGACAGUUCUAGCUUACAACUUUUCUGUGAAGACAGAAAACAAAUAUUCAUACAAAGAAGAAAAAGAUUUCUCUAGAGUUUGGCGGAAAGAGUCUUUUCCCCACUAAAAUAUCUAAGA